GUAUGAAAUGAUGGUCUACUAUCUUUCGGGACUGACUUUUCAUGGAGAGAUUUAAAAUUACUGAUCAUAC